rnacentral:rRNA from 1 species
UAACUCACAUCCACCAACGCCAGGGUAUUACGAGCUUUAGCUUAAAACCCAAAGGACUUGACGGUGUCCCAUCCACCUAGAGGAGCCUGUUCCAUCAUCGAUAAUCCCCGCUACACCUAACCACCCCUUGCCAAUCAGUCUGUAUACCUCCGUCGUAAACUUACCAUGUGAGUGCUCACAGUAAGUUUAAUGGCCACCAUCACCAAUACGUCAGGUCAAGGUGCAGCUUAUGGGGCGGCAGGCAAUGGGCUACAAUUUCUAUACUAGAACAAACGAAACGCUGCAUGAAAUACAGCCACGAAGGCGGAUUUAGUAGUAAAAAGAAAAUAGUGUGUUCUUUUUAACUAGGCCCUGGGACGUGU